rnacentral:rRNA from 1 species
CAGUGCCGCGGUAAUACGAAGGGGGCUAGCGUUGUUCGGAUUUACUGGGCGUAAAGCGCACGUAGGCGGAUGAUUAAGUCAGGGGUGAAAUCCCGAGGCUCAACCUCGGAACUGCCUUUGAUACUGGUCAUCUUGAGUCCGGGAGAGGUGAGUGGAACUGCGAGUGUAGAGGUGAAAUUCGUAGAUAUUCGCAAGAACACCAGUGGCGAAGGCGGCUCACUGGCCCGGUACUGACGCUGAGGUGCGAAAGCGUGGGGAGCAAACAGGAUUAGAUACCCCGGUAGUCCCUGUCUCUUAACAC